rnacentral:rRNA from 1 species
AUGUCUGAGCUCAGGAUUCUUGUCCAAGGAACUCUGAUAGCUUUGUUGUGCCUGCUCCUCUCCUUACCACCACCAGCCACAGCCUCUCCCCUCCAUGAACCAGCUUCAAAUGGGAGUUGUGUCACGUACGAGAGGGACGCGCUUCUCUCCAUCAAGGACAGCCUCUGGGAGCCCAGUGUCAACCUCUCGUCAUGGCAAGGUGAAGAAUGCUGCACCUGGAAAGGCGUCAGGUGCAGCUACAAAACCGGCCAUGUCGUCAAGCUCAAUCUUCGUGGAAGUGCUCAAGACUGCCUCAGAUACUCUACGUAUAGAGGUGCGAUAAGCCACUCCUUGGUUACUUUACAGCAACUGAGGUAUCUAGACUUGAGCUGCAAUAGCUUCAACUGGUCUGAGAUACCGGAGUUCAUUGGUUCUUUUCCGAGCCUUAGAUAUCUAAACCUUUCAUAUAGCUCGUUCUAUGGGAGAGUACCCCCGCAGAUUGGGAACCUCUCCAAGCUUGCCUACCUGGAUCUCAAACUCCCAAGUUAUAACAUAUUGUACUCAAGUGAUCUUCGGUGGUUAUCACACCUGUCAUCACUGAAGCACCUCGACUUGAGCUAUAUUAACCUUACCACUGCACUAGACUGGGUCCAUGAAAUUAACAGGAUUCCAAAUCUUAGCAAGCUUUACCUAAAGUACACAGGCCUAAGAAGCACAGUUUCUGCCCUUGGUCAAUCCAAUCUUACGGCACUCGAGGUGCUUGACAUUUCACAGAACUACUUUAACACCACCAUUGCUCCACACUGGUUUUGGAACUCAACGUCCCUCACUUCUCUGAACUUGUUUCGUUGUCACUUCUAUGGUCGUAUUCCUGAAUAUAUUGGUAAUAUGGCCUCUCUCGAGGAAGUUUAUUUCGGGGGGAAUAAUCUUAUGUCCAAUAUGAUACCAUCAAAUUUCAAAAAUCUAUGCAACCUGAAGAUACUAGAAUUGUCAGGCAGCAACACCUCAGGGGAUAUCUCAGAGUUGAUGGAGCGGUUACCAAACUGUACUUUGAACAAGAUGCAAGUGUUGGACUUGGGAGAUAAUAUGCUAGGUGGGGCCAUGCCCAGUAGUCCAGGGCCUAUUACAAACCUGACCUGCUUGGCCCUACCUCAAAAUAAGCUUACAGGCCCUAUACCCAAAUGGAUAUGGUCACUCACCGAGUUGCUUAUUUUGGACUUAGAAAGAAACGAGCUACAUGGCGUAGUCACUGAAGAUCACCUAAGAAGCCUUACAAAUUUGAAGCUCUUAAGUUUGGGCCACACACAUCUUCAGAUCAAGGUCAGUCCGAAUUGGGUUCCUCCAUUCAAACUACAAGUAGUUACCUUAGAGGGUUUGCAGCUAGGACCAGCAUUCCCGUCAUGGCUUAGAUCACAGACAAGCCUUGGGAUCCUAUUGAUUGCAAAUACAACCAUAACUACAAUCCCAGAUUGGUUUUGGGUUGCCUUUUCAAGGGCAGAAGUUGUGGAUCUAUCCAAAAAUCAGAUAACCGGCGCACUACCAACAACACUGGAAUUUAUGGCAGCAGAAACAAUGGCUCUGUCCAACAACAGAUUUACUGGCACAGUUCCAAAAUUCCCAAGAAAUAUUAAAGGCAUGUACUUGUCAGUAAACUCUUUAUCGGGGUCGUUGCCAUCAGAUUUCGGAGCCCCGUUGUUGCAGUAUCUUAGUAUUUAUAACAAUUCAAUAUCAGGCCCCGUUCCAUCUUCGUUAUGCUCAUUGACACAGUUGGCUCUGCUAGAGGGAACAAGCUGA